GGGGCGGGAGGCGGCCGGCGUGGCGGCGGGUCGUGGCGCGAGGCGCAGUAGUAGCGCUUGUGCACGGUGUAGGUCUCGUGGCGGCUGAAGCGGAUGUUGCAGGCUUCGCACAGGGUGCUCCAGGUUGGUGACAGAGUUGCAUGGGAUGCCACAUAUACUGGUGGAGCUAGAGUGCCUGCCAUCUCCACCUUCUGACUUUAAGAGGACAAGAGGGGAGUGAGACACUGAUGCAUCCAAGGCCAAGAAGAACAAGGAUCCCUCCCCGCCCUGGCAAAACCUUUCCUACGCCUAGAGCAAGGCUGCACAUGCCUUCUCUCCAGGACGGGAGCCUGGCUGUGACGUACUGGAAUCAUGCUGGGCAGCUCUGUGUGCACAGUUGAUGUUCAGAAUCUGCUGUGUGCACAUAUGGAGUGGCCAUUAUGCUCCGCCUCUACGCCACCAUGCCUUCACUGAGGACCAUGCACCUCCUUUCACUCGCCUGCCCCCCACAGCAGCCAUCGGUAACCACCCUGGAGACCACCUAUGGUGCCUCGCAUGAGUUCAGGUGCUGCCUGCCCGCCUGGACUUUGCCAACACUCAGCCCUGAAAAGGCAGCUACACAGCAGCCACAUUUGGGACCUGUGAGGUCCCAGUCCCAGUUACAAGUCCUGGGGCAGGGUGAUGUGAUCAGCAAUACAAACCGUCCUUAGAGACCUCCACAGUCCAGGCCUACCCAGCUUGUGGGACCUACGUGAGCCUCGGGUAGGACGUCCUUUCCUCCCCAUGCAGGCUGAAUUCUAACUUAUCCUCUGCUGGAAAGGCCUCAGGAUGUGGCUCUAGACAUGCUCUCUCGAUCUCCCUGCAGGGACCAGUUCCUGCCAUGCCCACUCAUUCCCAGGUCCAUCAGAAUCUGCCUCCCAGAAACCCCCAAAUGCCUGCACAACAGAGGCUGGACUGAGCUCCUGGUGUCCCUGGGGACUCUGGUGACCGUCUCCAGUCACCUGACCUGAGCCAGCCAGCUGCACUGGCCUUGGUAUCCUCCAGAGGCCCAAGUUGCCUGGGUGGCCCAGUUCCCAGCUGGCCGAAGAGGCUGGAAUGGGACACAGAUGCUACUGCACUGGGCAACCUGCCUGCUUACCUGGCCCGCUCCAAGGACUGGCUGCAGCCACCUCCACUUCCUCCUUCACCUCCUCCUCCUCUUGGGGCCUUGUCUCAGUCUCUGACUCCUGCCUCUUCAUCUCCUCAGGGCCUCCUGGGGGUGAGGGGGCUGCUGGUGCUGGGGGUGGAUUCACAUCUGCAGAGAGGAAAACACUAUCAGAUCCAAUUGAGUUAGCCCAUGACCAGGUGGGAAGUUGAAACCGGGACAAUCGGGGCUCACACUCACCCAUCCUUCUAGUUGAUCUACCUAGAGGGGUGUGGAGAAGACACCCCUAAGUUUCCUCGUGGCUUUGUUGAUCACAGCUGUAAUAACUGCUUCUCACCUGCCGUCUAACCCAGCCCGACGCCCACCGGGUGUACCCAGACCCGUGGCCUCGGCUCACAGAUCUCCGUGGCAGCUGGGCCCCUUGCUGGGCCCCGCACCCAAUUCCAGCCCAAAGGGCAUGUUUGCCUUCCCGGCAGGCCAGAUAACCAGCGAGGGCCCCCGAUCGAUGUGCUCCUCUAAAGCCCCCUGGGUGACGUCACGCACCCGGCAGA